CCCCUAGAUGUUCUGGGCCGCACGCGCGCUACACUGAACAGUUCAACAAGUCUUAACCUUGGCCGAUAGGUCUGGGUAAUCUUUGAACGCUGUUCGUGAUUGGGAUAGACCUUUGCAAUUAUGGGUCUUCAACGAGGAAUUCCUAGUAAACGCAAGUCAUCAGCUUGCAUUGAUUACGUCCCUGCCCUUUGUACACACCGCCCGUCGCACCUACCGAUUGAAUGGUCCGGUGAAAUCUCGGGACGGCGGCUUGGUCGCUUGCGUCCGACUGCUGAAACUUGAUUAAACCAUAUCAUUUAGAGGAAGGUGAANCCGUANCA
rnacentral:rRNA from 1 species